GAUGCCUGGCUAGGUUAAGUCAGCUGUCCAGGGCGGCACAACUAGUCUGCGGCUGAGGUGGGGCCAGAGGCCAGGGCUGCCCACUCGCUGCUCACACUGCAGACACUCCCGUGAGCGCCGUCCCGUCCCUGUGGAACAACUGCCCUAAAAGUACUCGUCCUGCUUGGGAUCUUUCUUACUGGAACACCUCCACAGCUUUUUGUCUGGUGUGCUGUGUGUGACAGGUAAGGAAGCCGAGCCUCAGUGAGACUGAGCAACACCCAAGUCCGCAGAGCUGAUGCAGAUAAGAUGCCUGGAGCUUCUGUAGCCAUUUUGUGACCACGAGUAAUUGCAAAGAUGAAAAGCCAACAUGCUAAGGAUGCUAGAGAUGGUGGAGAGGCAA